AUUUGGUGACACAUCACCAAAACAUUGAUCAACUUUAACUGCAUCAGAAAUAGGAAUGGAAUCACCCAAUCGUAAUAAAAUUAUAAACGUGAAGAAAAGGCCUUAUCCACGAUAUUUUGGAGAAUGCCAUACUUCUGACAUGGAUAGUCCAAAAA